GGCCGGUCCGCCUAUGGUGUGCAUUGGUAGUCUCAUCCCUUCUGUCGGCGAUGCGCUCCUGGCCUUAACUGGAUGGGUCGUGCCUACAUUAUACAUUAGCAUGGGAUAACAUUAUAGGAUUUCGGUCCUAUUACGUUGGCCUUUGGGAUCGGAGUAAUGAUUAACAGGGACAGUCGGGGGCAUUUGUAUUUUAUAGUCUGAGGUGAAAUUAUUGGAUUUAUGAAAUACGAACAACUGCGAAAGCUUUUUCCAAGGAUGUUUUCAUUAAUUAAGAACGAAAGUUGAGGGCUCAAAGGCGAUCAAAUACCGUCCUAGUCUCAAUCAUAAACAAUGCCGACCAGGGAUCCGCGGCUGUUGCUUUUAGGACUCCGUCGGCACCUUAUGAGAAAUCAAUGUUUUUGGGUUCCGGGGGGAGUAUGGUCGUAAGGCUGAAACUUAAAGGAAUUGACGGAAGGACACCACCAGGAGUGGAGCCUGCGGCUUAAUUUGACUCAACACGGAGAAACUUACUAGUUCCAGACAUAGUAAGGAUUGACACACUGAGAGCUCUUUCUUGAUUCUAUGGAUGGUGGUAUAUGGCCGUUCUUAGUUGGUGGUGAGAUUUGUCUGGUUAAUUUUGUUAAUGAAUAAGACCUCAGCCUGCUAACUAGCUAUGCAGAGGUAUCCCUUUGUGGCCAGCUUCUUAGAGGGACUACGGCCUUUUAGGCCUCGGAAGUUUGAGGCAUAACAGGUCUGUGAUGCCCUUAGAAGUUCUGGGCCGCACGCAUGCUACACUGAUGUAUUCAACGAGUUUAUAGCCUUGGCCAACAGGCCCGGGUAAUCUUUUAAAUUUUAUUGCACUUGGUUGAAAAGCUAGUGGCGCAAAGCUACCAUGAUCUGGAUUUUGGCUGAACGCCUCUAAGUCAGAAUCCGGGCUAGAAGCGACGCAUGCGCCCGCUGUCCGCUUACCGACCCGCAGUAGGGGCCUCGUCCCCCAAGGGAAUAUGUCGUUUUCUAAGCCACCACAGCGGAAGAGUCGCAGUGGCCA
rnacentral:rRNA from 1 species